AGGGCCCCGGGCGGGAGCCACACUGGUCACUUUUGUGCCAGCUCCCACUCGUUGAUAAGCCUGGGUGGCGUAUUCGUCACAACCCGCUCUGGACGGGCACCACCCCUCCCCGGAGGGGGCACAGAGGCCCUGUGCUGUCACCCCGCGCCAUGCUGGCAGUGACCCAGCCCAUCUGCUGCUGCUGAGGAGGCCUGGGGCGGCUCGGUCACAGCUCUGCAUUACAUCCGCUCGAUCAGGUGACCCCAGAAGGGCCAGGUGGGAGGGUCCACUCAGCAGUGGACACAGACGCUUGUCCAAGGACCACGGAGGGAUCUUCGUCGGGAAGGAAGGAGAACGGUGGGCAGGCGGGCCGCGGUUAGGGCCCUGGGCUGGGAGGGAGGGAACCGACGGGGAGGAGGGACAGGGUGUUCAGAUGCACCCAGCUCUCCAGUAUGUCGGCCACCGAGGCACCCACGUGUCUGGGCACUCGGGGGACGGGCAGGGGGUGAAUUGGGUGACGAUGUCAACAGAGCUCCUGCUGUGAGAGUAGGGGUCACGGAGGCCGGGCUGCCUGGGCGCCCGAGGGCGGGGCGUGAGGCCAUCCCCCGUGGGCGCUGCCUCUUGGGCCCCCCUGGGUGACCAGUGCAGAGAGCUGGGCGGGGCCCCGGGAGCCUGCUAAGGAGCGGGUGGGGACACAUCAGGUGGCCUCAGUAGGAAUGCCGCAGAAGAUUAGGGGCUGGACGGGAUCUCUGGCCCAGAUCUGCCCUUCCCUUGUGGCCCACCUCCGGGGUCCCCGUCGUCUGAGGGAGGCUGUUCUGGGUGGGCCCGGGGUGUGGCAGGUUUGUGACGGAGCCUACGGAGAGAGGGGGCGGGGCGGGCGCAGGGACCAAGGCGGCAGUGUGGCCCAGGCAGUGGCGGCCCCGGGGGUCUCGUCUGGGCCCCCCUCCCACACACACCGGGGAGGCAGGUCUCGCUGAGCGGAAGCUGGUCCCAGCCCCCUGGGACCCGUAACUGCCUAACUGCUCCGGACAGACAGGGAGCUGGGAGGUGGAUGCCCUUGCCGCAGGGGGAGGGGCGCGGAGGCCCUGAUUUCCAGGAAAGGCAGCCUGUUUCUCUAGGGCUGGCCAUCAGGGGCCGGGGAGAGCAAGGCCUUGCCCAGCGCCAGCCAGGCUGGCACAGAGCCCACGUGCACGGCCUGGGGCUGCCCGGAUCCUGCCUCAGGUGCCUUUUCGAGUGAGGGACGGGCUGGUGCGGGGGUGUGGCUGUUUCCUGGCAAGGAGCCAGCCACGCUUGUCCCUCUGGCCUCCCCACGGCGGAGCAGGUUCUGGAAAAGGGCUUCCCCAGCAGCGCUGGCACCUUGUUCGGGAGGCAGCUCUGCCUGGUCACGGAGGUUCCAGGGCGCCCCACUGGGCUGGCACCCCAGACAAGCCACCCCUCGGGCCAUACAGCUCUGUGGCCUUUGCCCUGCUCCGACCCUGGCCGGCCCUGGUCCUGGAGGGGGCAGAGGACAGAAGUUCACCCUCCAGGAAGAAGUCCUGGCCCCCAGCUGGGGGGCUGCACCGGGGCGGGAGGGGAGGAAGGUCACCCCUGGCGGCCGGCCGGGUGUUCACAUCCAGCCCCCCCAGGAACAGUGGGUGAGGCAGGGGGUGGGGAACUUGACCUCCACAGACCCCGAUGGUCUGGGUCUCCAUCCUGAGCUGUUUCCGGAGCACCCCCACCCUCCCUCUAGGCGCUGGAGGCCCGAAACAGCUUGGGGCUGGGAGGGCAUUUCCUGCCCUGAGGGAAUUAGCGCCUCGUGGACCCCGAAACGCCUCCCUGCCAACCGGGCCCUGCUUGCUCAGCUGUGUGGUCCUUCAUCCAUCAGCCGGGCCCCCCCGCCCCCCGGCCCCUGGUCCUCCAUCCCCCCAGGGACCCUGGCCUGCACGAGAGCCGAUGAUUUGAGGCCUGGCUCGGUGCCCCGAACUGUCAUAUGGACGCACAUGUUCCCGCCUCCGGACCUCGGCUUCGGCCUCUGGGCUGCAGGGUCUCUGGGGCCCUCGCUCCGGGAGACCCUGAGUCCUCCCCACCUGCCUGAAAGCCAGAGCCACUGGGCUCAGGUCUCUGGUGGGGAACUGCUUUGGCUACUUUUGUCACUACGAAUGACACCCACAAAAAUCACAGCACACGCAGAUGGCCAGGAUCCCUGUGGGGACCUGAGGGGGCUGGGGUGGGGGAGGAACGCACCUGCUACCCCUGCGGGAGACCACACCGUACCUCGGGCCUCCCGGGGGUGGGGGUGGGGUUGAGCUUGGCCCUGCUGACCUCUGCAGGUCUGGUGUUCAUGCAGGACUUCACUGAAGCCCCAACACAACCCUGUGAGGUGAUCUCAUUGUAGCCCCGUUUUUCAGACAGGGAAACUGAGGCCCAGAGGUGUUGAAGGGGUCUCCCGCCACAGCCACUCCCGGUCUCCUCACCCCCACCACGAGGGGGGCCCUCAGCCCUUCCUCUGAGGAGGGAAGGAAUGGGGCAUCUGGCCUGGUCUGCCGGGUGACCCGGGGCUCUUUGAGGAAGGCGAGGGUUGAGGGGCCCAGAGUGGAAGUCACCUGCCUGGGUGGCCCCUGGGGUUGGGAGAGCAGGGGAGGGGCGGGCAGCCUGGCUCAGCGUCACCCCGAGGGGCUCCAACCUCCGAGGGGUGACAAGGAGUCUCGGAGACUCUUUCAGACAAAGAGGCUCCAGUCAGACCGGUGGGCACUUUCCCCAGUCAGGGUCCCCAGAGAAAAGGCAGGUGUGGUCCUAAGGUGCCAGCCUCGUGCCGUAAGGUGGGAGCAACCCAAGUGUCGGUCGGAGGUGAGCGGGUCGAGCGGACCCCUCAGGGUCUGCGUGGACACAGAGGCAACCUCACGCUUUCCGGCCUGACCGCAGCCCCACCGCCCAAAGAAACAGGGAGGGGAACUCACGGCCCUGCGCACGGCUGGCCAAGUCGGCCGGCCUCGAACGCCAUUUCAGAAGCCAGACGGAGAUUCCUGCUAAAGGUGUGCUGGGUACCGGCCGGGCCCGGGCCAGCUCUGUCUCAGCUGUGACCCACACAGGUGCCCUCCCCUAUUCUGGCUGCAGCUCCUGGCUUCAGAGUUCUUGAAGUUUCAGCCGAGGGCCAGCAGGGAGUAAUUGUGGUCUGGGGUGAUGCUUUGAGGGGGACACUGGGACCGGCCACAGGAACUCUGAGAGCUCCCUCUAGGGGGGGCCUCUUCACUCAGCCCCAGGGCCCCCAUCACUUCCAGGAGCCCCCGCCCACAAGGCUCCCCGGUCUCUCGUGGGGAGGCCAUCACCCGUGACCACUCUCCCCACGCUCUGCAGCCUGCAGAGCCCGGGGCCAGCACAGGGGCGUGGCCGCGGCACACAGCCCCACCCCCACGGAAGCCCACAGAGCCCCUUGCCCACCUUCUCCCACGCCAGGUCCUGAGAGCUGAUGGGCUGUGGAGAGGGGCGGAUGCUCCCAGCGUUUUGCUUCCUGUGGUCACCCACACCACACAGAUGGGGAACUGAGGUCAUAUGGUGGGGGGGUGGAGCUUGGGGCAGGGAGGGGUGGCCUCUGGCCCAGGACAGACUCUGACACUUGGGAGGCGGCUCCGGGCUUGGACUGGCUGCUUCUCUCCCGUGGCCAACACAGUGGGUUGAGAAGACAGGCCCAGCUCUUUGUCUGGGGACAUUGGGCAGGGCAGUGGGGCGGGAGGCGGGGAUGGAGGGCCGAGGAGGAGGGGGGGCCUGGACUCCCCUCCUGGGGGCCCUGCAGGGGCUGAAAAGGGUCCCUCUGGGCUCAGAGAUUGGCUGCAGGGGCUCUCGAGGUCUGUGUCUCCACACAGGCCCUGGGCAGCCGCUGGGCCUCAGGACCCGACGCGCCCCCUCGAGAGCCCCCCCAGGCCAGGGCUCCACACAGACCGGGGACGGCCUGGGCUGGAGGGCUGGUGCCCUGUGCUCCUGGGCUCCUGGACCCGUGCCCUGGGGCCUCCAGGGACUCUCGGCCACUGGACAUGCCAGGAGGAGGGGUGCACCGCCCGGGGCCGGGCCCGGGAACGUCUCCAGGACAGAGCGGCAGAGCCCCUCCCGAAGGGGAAGCUGGACUUCGGUUGGAAGGGAGCCAUCAGGCCACCCCGGCAGAUCAGGGGAGACCGGCAAGGCUGGGGGCGGAUAUUAGGACCUGAAGCCAAAAUGCUCGGGUGAGCCCAGCCUCGAUCAGAUGGGCUUUGCUGGAGACCCAGCCCUGGUGGGAAUACAGAAGUGAUUAGGCCUAAAAGCUCGGGCCAUUUAGCUUUUAUUCGAUUGGCAGAGAGGCCCUCUGUGCCCUCUGCUUUUUGCCGUUUGAUUAUAUGUCUGUGCUCAAAAUACGGUUCCUGGAAUGUAGGCAGCAGGCAGGGCUCAUUGGAAUGGAAAUCAAUUUGAUUAGCGAGCAGUCGAUUACCGCGAGGACGGAGGCUGUGAUCCAGGCGGAAGCCAGCUCCACAAACAUGGAACUUUCUGAACGCGCCUGUGUGGAGGGGCUCACUCCGGAGGGGCCGAGGCUGAGGUAGGCCAGGCCCGCCCGGAUGCUCGCGGGGCGGGAGGUAUAGCGGAGCUCUCCCUCCUCAGCCUCGGCAUGUGCUUGACUCCCCUGGGCCUCGGCUUUCCCCUCCAUGAAAUGGGAUCAGGCCGCUGCUGCCCGGAGGAGUUUGGGGCCUCAGAGGGGGCCGUGCAUGAUGGAGAGUGAACGCUCUCUCGGAGGGGCAGUGC